AUUCUCUGCAUAUCAUCACAUCUUCCUCGUGGAGAUUCUGCCAAAUGAGGUGAUGGGCAGUUCAAGAUUGCUGUCGUUCAAGAAGUUAAUGACCACAUCCCCUGUUGAGGUUGUGAGCUACAAAUACCCAGAAAUUUUCCUGAAGAAAUCCUAAACGAGGGUUGAGGUGAAGGCAUCCAAGUGACUAUG